rnacentral:lncRNA from 1 species
UGGUGAACGCACCGUUCACUUACUAACACCUGUUGUUGAACAGACAUAUAAGUGUUGAGAAAUUCAGCAGUAGAACAUUCACUGCCCUCAUGGAACUCGUACAUUUAAUUGGCCAAGACCACACCAGCGGAAGAUGACCUGGGAAGAACCAAAUCUUCGUUGGCAUUGUUCCGCAUUGAUCUAGGAAUUCCGCCACUCCCCAGUCAUCUGUUACAUCUGUUUCUCCCUGUGUACUGAAUAGAAGGGUAUUGCUAAGCUGCCCAGGCUGGUCCUGAAGUUAUGACACUCCUGCCUCAGCCUUCCAGAGUGCCGGGAUUACAGAGACAGGGGCUUGCGAUGUAGUUGACCUUCAACUCACUGUGUAGCCUAAGCUGGCCUCAAACUCGCAGUGAUCUGCCUGCCUCAGCCUGCCAGGAAGCAGAGUGAGAAGGGAGGAGCCGGGGUCAAGAAUACACCUUUCCAGGUAACAGCCAAAGACUCACCUGCAAGGAGUACCCCCAGUACAUUCAGCUGUGAAUGCAUCAGUAGAUGAAUCUAAUGAGUUUUGCACCCCAUGAUCCAGUCACUCUCCAAAUACACGAGACUUUUGGGGAACAUUUUCCAUCUGAACCAUGACACAAAUAUAGCCAGUGAAGAGAAAAAGAGAUGAUAGGAAAGUAAAUAGAAUUGAAGGCAGAGAAAUAGGAGGACUUGAAUAUGAUGGUAAGAAGUAUGGAAAAUCAGAGAUUUUUCAAAAAGAAGAUAAUCACAGAAAAUGAACUUUGGAGACAAAGUUUGGAUGCUCCUUUCAAAAAAUUUCUUUAAUAACAAAACCUAGGCCUUAGAAUGUCUCAUCACUGUCUAUAUAAAAUUAUUUUUGUGUGUACCUUGUUGAGACUAAGUUUUGGUUAAUAAGAUACAGAAGAAAUGUUGCAAGGUAUUCCAAGACUUCUUUUUUUUUUUUUUGGUGCUGGGUAUUGAACUCGGGACCUUAUGCUUGCGAAGCAGGCAGUGGAAUCACUGAACUAAAGCCCCAGCCCUAGGACUUCUACUUAAUGGAAAGAAAUUAACUCCUCUUUCGCUGUUCUCCAUCCUGCUGUCUGAACAUAGCUAUGAUAGCUGGAGCUCUGGGAGCCUUACUGUGCAAUUAUGAUGAGGUUCACACAAUAAAAGGAAGGAAAGUAUGAGUUGGAAGAAGCCUUAUGUCUUCAUAAAGUUGCCUCACAAGCUUUGAACUGCUUAACUCUAAACUUUUAUGUGGGAAAUAAACAUCUCUUAUUUAAGCCAUUGUCACUUUUCUGCUGUGUGUAGCUGGAGUAACCCUUUUUCUCUACAACCAAACUGCCAAUCCUAAGCCCUCCAUUAUUAAAAUUUUGGAGCCCAUGAUUUUAACAGGAAAUUUGAUAUAUUUGCAAGGGUGAAAUGAUUAAGUUUUAAAUUUGGGAAUGUGGAACAUUUUAAAAGAUCUACUCUAAGAAAAAAAAAAAAAAAGAGCACUCUCCCCAAAAGAAAAAAACCUCUUGACUUUCCUCCUGACACAGUUUCCAAGUAUCUCACACUGAUUUCAGCUAAUUUGUUGUCAGUGUUUAGGAAUUUUCCUAAGCAAGGUCAUAAAGCUCACGUUUUGUUUUGUUUGGUCUUGAACAGAAAUAUGACCAACUUUACUUCUUCAUAUGUACAUCUUGAUACAUUCUUUAACAAAUAUUUACCAUGCAGUGACAUCCUAAUUUUAUUCUUAGGCUCUUUCCUUCCUGUUUGUUGUGAUUUGCACUGAAACACUGGGCUCUGAAUUCACCCCUGCUCCCUUUCUUCCUAGACAAACUUGUCACAGUUUGAAUACAUGGUACUUCAUUUAAAUUUUUAAUUGUUCUCAAACUGGUCCAGAAGUGCCAAAGUGGUUGCAAAGGAGGAUAAAAGACUAGGAGGAAUGUCUCCAAGCAAAACAUGAAGCUGAUUAUUCGAUGUGCUUGACCAUAUUAAGAAAUGUUUCAAAAGUGUACCAUUUUUUUCCCUCAGGAAGCUUGGCGGUGAAUCAAUGUUUGGUACACAGAACACUAAGCCUGGGCGCGCGCGCGCACACACACACACACACACACACACACAUCUUGUUGGAGAAUGUUGCUUUAGAUGUGCCAGCCAAAUAAGCUUCGGUGUUAAAGCUAAACUCUAGAAGUAGGCCAGGCAACCCUCUCAGUCACAGAAGGACUGGGAGAAUCAUGAUCGGUGCAGUUUGCUCCCAAAAGGAAUGUUAUGGUUUGUGUUUCGAUGUCUUCCCAAAGCCUCAUAUGAAUGAGGUGGGACUUUCUUUUUCAGAGGUAGUUGAAUCUGGAAUGUGUGAUGCUGGGGUUAAGGGCGUGUGAUUACUAAACCACUACAUGUGAGUGAUUAGUUUGGCACCACCCUUACCCUGGUAGUCUGAAUAAGAUAAAAGGGACAGAGAGAUGUUAAAGUCUCUCAUUACCUUUGCUGCUUUGUGCGUGCUGUGUUUCUCUUCUGCGAUGCUUGUUUGCCAUCCCUGUCUUCGAGCCAGCUGAUUAUGGACUGAAACCUCUAUAAACUGUAAGCCAAUAAACCCUUCCCUUUUAACUUUGGGUGUUGGGUAUUUUGUCUCAACAACAAGAGAAAAGUAACUAACACAAGGAAGAACAGAGCUCACAAUUAUUCUUCCCAAAUUUACCUGCCUGAUAAAUUGCUCUGCCUCCCCAGGAAUGGAGCAAGGUAAAGAGCAAAGAGAAGCCAGGAUAUUAUUUAGGGAAGUUGUCUCUUCAAAGAAAACAGAAUUAGGGAAAAGUAUUUUCCUUGGAUAGUAUGCAAGUCAUCUAGCCUCUUUUGUGGCCUAAUUUUUUUUGCCAUCCUGGGAAUUGAACCCAGGACCUUGCACUUGCAAGGCAGGCACGGUGCCACUGAGCUGAACCCUUGGCCCCUUAUGCCCUAAUUCUUAAGCUGUUAUUCAUCUUCCAAAGAUCACAAAAGUAAAAUGUAUUAAACAUGAAAAUUAAUAUACGUCCUAUAACUAGUUACCAACAACUAGUAUUUAAUAAGCAUCUAAGAGGUUAAAGAAACAGUUCUAAGCCUUUCACACGAACUAACUCAAAUCUCAAAACAGUAUUAUUACUUUUAAUUUACUUUGGUUUUUGUUUUUGGUACUGGGGAUUGAAUUCGGUCUUUGUGCUUGUGAGGCAGGCGGCAGAACCACUGAGCUAAAUCCCCGGGUAUUACUUUUAAUUUAAAAAGAAAGAAACUGAGUCCCCAACGUUAAGGAACUUGUUUACACUCACAUAGUGAGCAAGUGAAUGAGUGUGACCUUAACUGCAUUCUCAGUGAUCCCAUUCAGUAAAUCCUACAUGCCAGGGCACUGACUUAUUCCCAAGACUUUCUAAAUUGAAAUGGAAUGUUGCUGACUUUAUGUAUGGCCCUGUACAGAGUGAUGUUAUUGUUAUUAAUGGCUUUGCUUCUAGGGAUAUUCUGGCUCUUCUCCACCUCAGACCUCUCAGGAUGUUGCUUUCAGGAAGUCACUGCCUCACCAUCCCUCCCAUAGGUCUAGGUUUCAUGCUCUUUCCAGCUCCUUUGUUGUAUAAUCUGUUUAAUCAUGUUAUAUAAAAAUUGCUAUUUUAAUUUUCUCCCCUCCCUCUAGUGUCUUUGUGACAGGAACUAUGUUUUCUGUCUCUGAUGGCAUGAGUUACAGAAUAUUACUCACACUGCUUAGAUACACUAGGAACAGUGUAUUUUAUUCUUAAAGACUUCUAUGAUCUUAUCAUUCCCCAACUGCUAGACAGGCAAAAGAAAAAGUAAUAAUUUGAGCCUCAGUUGUUUUAAAACUUAUUUUGAUAAUAUAUUUAUAACAAUCUCUUUAACCUUGUCUCUCUGAAAUAAUUGUUCUAUGUUAUCAAUGGCCCAUCCUCUCCCUAUUUCUGUCUAAAGAGACAUCUGGCACACGGAGCAGAGUCUCACAUGGAUACGAAUAAGUUGGGCAUUGUACAGAAGCUAGCGUUAUGACUUGUGUAUUCAGUCCUGUCCUGGGUUCCGUUGUUGACAGAAGCUGCUGAUAUAUGUAGCUGAUAACUUUCUGGUUAGUCUUUAUUGGUUUCAUCAGUCUAACCUCCCCCUACCCCGACUCCCAAUCCAUCCUGGCCUUCCUUGAGUUCCUACUGUCACUCCACAUCCUGCUGAGUAUCUGAAAUGUUCUCUACCUGGUCCAAGGUCCAAGAUAUCCACUUCAUUGGACUCACCUCACCUGUCAUGCUCAAUCCAUGAUGUACAUGUUUAUCUGAUCCCCUUAACUUGCCCUCUUGACCAUGCUGAGUCCCUUUUGGGUCCUCCUACCUCCUUUCUGUACUUUACACUUAAGAGUUCAGAACAGAGUAGGACAAUCAAUAUAUACUGUCCCUAUUGUGUGCUAAUCACUGUUCCAGAGCAUCAGGAGUGCAGUAAUGAACAAAACAAACAAAAAUUUCUGCCAUGUGGGGUUCACAGGUUUAUAAUCUAGUAAUCCCCUUAACCUGACUUGCUUUUAUUAGAACACAUCAUUGUUUCUUUCACCUCCCUUUCUCUAAGUUUUUUCAUCUGUACAGUCCCUAAAGUCCUUUCUCAAGGAAUGAGUUUCCCUCCCUUUCUAUUAGCAACCAGCCCAUUAGACCUAGCCUGUAAUACAUUAAAUGAGAGACAAAAGAACUUAGCUUUCUUUCGCUUUUAAAAUGCCUAUAGUCUUGCUGCAAAAUUCUGUUUUGAAUGUCAGAUGUUAAAGAUGAAUUAUUCUUUCUCUUUGCACUUAUUCUAUAAUAAUGCACAUCCCCUACUGAGACAGAUGGGAGUCUUAGGCUGAAUGAAGAAAGUCUUACAUGUUGCAAAGGUAAAUGAAAAGGAAUUAAUAUUAUUAAAAAUAUCAACUUUAUUACAUUGGGGUUUCAAUUCCCUGGUAUACUGCCUGGCAAUUCUAGGCAUUCCAUAGUGAAUUGUAUUAUAGGAAUGGAUUGUAUUAUAGGAAUUGAUUAUAUUAUAGUAUCUAUACUUUUGUUUCUGGGUUAGUGAAUAAUUUAUGUAGGCUAACUUUUUUAUUGACAUUUAAACUAUUUUCCCCUUGAAAAGAAAGAAGGAAAUGGAAUUAAUAUGAGAAAAUGGAAAAAUGGAAACAAAAUCUUUGUAAAUAGGGAGGGAUGGAGGGGUUGAAGGGAGGGCUGGUCCAGGGUGAAAAAUAGGAACUAAGAGAGAUUAUGUAAAGGUGCAAAUUUCCAAUGAUGAAUGUCAUUAUAUUGUAUACCUAAAAUGUACCAAUGAUUAGAAUGAAUAAUCGAUAAUGGAAAAUAGGAAGAAAA